GACGAACGCUGGCGGCGUGCCUAAUACAUGCAAGUAGAACGCUGAAGAGAGGAGCUUGCUCUUCUUGGAUGAGUUGCGAACGGGUGAGUAACGCGUAGGUAACCUGCCUUGUAGCGGGGGAUAACUAUUGGAAACGAUAGCUAAUACCGCAUAACAAUGGAUGACACAUGUCAUUUAUUUGAAAGGGGCAAUUGCUCCACUACAAGAUGGACCUGCGUUGUAUUAGCUAGUAGGUGAGGUAACGGCUCACCUAGGCGACGAUACAUAGCCGACCUGAGAGGGUGAUCGGCCACACUGGGACUGAGACACGGCCCAGACUCCUACGGGAGGCAGCAGUAGGGAAUCUUCGGCAAUGGGGGCAACCCUGACCGAGCAACGCCGCGUGAGUGAAGAAGGUUUUCGGAUCGUAAAGCUCUGUUGUAAGUCAAGAACGAGUGUGAGAGUGGAAAGUUCACACUGUGACGGUAGCUUACCAGAAAGGGACGGCUAACUACAUG
rnacentral:rRNA from 1 species